AUGGGAACCGGAUUGGUUGCAGUGUGGCACAGACCUGGAACCUUCCUGAAAGAGGUUGGGGCAGGCAGUGGCUGUUCAGACGUCCAAUCUCUUUGGGACACCUCUUCAGCGCUGUCUUCCCUGCCUCUGCCUUUAGGACGAGUCUCAAACACCAACAAACUCAAGGCACGUGCCCUCUCUCAGGUCAGCUGCGAAGGGACGGGAGCAAGAGAGAGCCUCUCCCUCCUUCUACUUCGAGUUUUUGUUUGUUUGUUUCAAAAUAUUAAUGGACGAUAAAACAACACGGAUUUGUCACCUCCUAGCGAAGAGGAAGCUACCGCCACCAACCCCCUCAAGCAUGCCCGGGCACUUUUGGGACAAUCGGACGUGGCAGGAGUUGGCAUGCCCAAGAUGGAGCUGGGAAGGAUGACCCAGAGUGGAAGGCGUGGGCCAGUGCUCCAGGUCUCAGCUCUCGCCGGCGUCGAACCACACAACUUUGCCAGCUUUGCACUUUGCCUUUCCCUAUUGUGA